rnacentral:misc_RNA from 1 species
UCUCCGUUGGUGAACCAGCGGAGGGAUCAUUACCGAGUGCAAACUCAUAACCCUUUGUGAACCUAUAUCUGUUGCUUCGGCGGCUCGCUCUCGGGCGAGCCCGCCGGUAAUAUCAGUAUCUCUGUUUGAACCCGACGAUACUUCUGAGUGUUCUUAGCGAACAGUUAAAACUUUUAACAACGGAUCUCUUGGCUCUAGCAUCGAUGAAGAUCGCAGC